rnacentral:rRNA from 1 species
GAUGAACGCUGGCGGCGUGCCUAAUACAUGCAAGUCGAGCGAACAGACGAGGAGCUUGCUCCUCUGACGUUAGCGGCGGACGGGUGAGUAACACGUGGAUAACCUACCUAUAAGACUGGGAUAACUUCGGGAAACCGGAGCUAAUACCGGAUAAUAUAUUGAACCGCAUGGUUCAAUAGUGAAGGACGGUUUUGCUGUCACUUAUAGAUGGAUCCGCGCCGCAUUAGCUAGUUGGUAAGGUAACGGCUUACCAAGGCGACGAUGCGUAGCCGACCUGAGAGGGUGAUCGGCCACACUGGAACUGAGACACGGUCCAGACUCCUACGGGAGGCAGCAGUAGGGAAUCUUCCGCAAUGGGCGAAAGCCUGACGGAGCAACGCCGCGUGAGUGAUGAAGGUCUUCGGAUCGUAAAGCUCUGUUAUUAGGGAAGAACAAAUGUGUAAGUAACUAUGCACGUCUUGACGGUACCGAAUCAGAAAGCCACGGCUAACUACGUG